rnacentral:rRNA from 1 species
AUUGAACGCUGGCGGCAUGCUUUACACAUGCAAGUCGAACGGUAACAGGCCUUCGGGCGCUGACGAGUGGCGAACGGGUGAGUAAUGCAUCGGAACGUGCCCGAGAGUGGGGGAUAACGAGGCGAAAGCUUUGCUAAUACCGCAUACGAUCUCAGGAUGAAAGCAGGGGACCGCAAGGCCUUGCGCUCACGGAGCGGCCGAUGGCAGAUUAGGUAGUUGGUGGGAUAAAAGCUUACCAAGCCGACGAUCUGUAGCUGGUCUGAGAGGACGACCGGGCACACUGGGACUGAGACACGGCCCAGACUCCUACGGGAGGCAGCAGGGGGGAAUUUUGGACAAGGGGCGCAAGCCUGAUCCAGCCAUGCCGCGUGCAGGAUGAAGGCCUUCGGGUUGUAAACUGCUUUUGUACGGAACGAAAAGACUCUGGUUAAUACCUGGGGUCCAUGACGGUACCGUAAGAAUAAGCACCGGCUAACUACGUGCCAGCCGCCGCAGUAAGAC